rnacentral:rRNA from 1 species
UAAAAACWAGGAUUAGAUACCCUAGUAUAGAGUAAGACUAAAGAUUAUUAUUUAAGAAAUUUAAAAGUUUUGGCAGUUAGUCAUUAAUUAAAGGGACUUGUUUAUCUAGACUUUACUCUUUAAAUUUUAUUAAUUUGUGUUCAUUUAUCUCCGUUCUUAAAUAAAAGUUGAGCAAAAUUAAUUUUUAUAUCUCAGGUCAAGAUGUGUCUUAAAUUUAGCAAUAUUAGUCACAUUUAUAUAAUAAUUAGAUAUUAUUUUUGAAAAAUUAAUGAAAUUGAAUUUAGUUGUAAUUGUGUUUAUAAAGAUUAUAUGAAUUUAUAUAACUUAUGUAUAUAUUGCCCGUCACUUCUUUUGAAAAAAAGAAUAAGUCGUAACAAAGUAAAAUUUAAGGGA